AAAUGAGGUCUAUGGCAGAGUCCAGAGCUGAAACCAGAGGUACUAAAUCCUCAUUAGAUACUAUUCUGACUGUCUUUAUAGACAUUCUUAUUACAGGUGGUCACGUGGAAGGAAUGACUCAUGACUCAGACUGUAGUUAGGGCAUUUAUGCUCCUCCUGACAUAUCCACCUACACAGGAUCCUGCUCUUUAUGGAAGCUGUACCUGUUCUCUCAUCUAUGCAGUGAGAGCCACUGAGAGCAUCGUGAAGCCCACAGUUUCUUUGUGGAGGAUUACUCCCCACCAGCUCCUAGAAAUAUUAAAGGAAAGCAAAAGUUUAGAAAAGGCACUGAAAGAAUGAAACAAACUGCAGAAAGUGAAGAGCAAAGUAUUCCUGCACAACCACAGCACGUGGCCAUGGUCAGGCAAACAGGCUCCCUUCAAGCACUUGGAAGGCCAUAAUGUUGUCUCCUCAGAGUCUUCUCUGUGCUGAACAAGCCCAACUCCCUCACACCUCUGAAAUCCUGCCAGGAACUCCUUCUCUAGGAACUCUAGCUACUGCAAGGCAGUGGUUGCUUUCCAGUGAGAGCAGCUGCCAAAGAAACGGUCCCUGAGAUAGUCAGACAGGUCCUCGUGUCUGAGAAAUACUCCCAGAUUGAACCAAAUGGAAAAGCCCAGCAUGCACUCCCAGAGAGGGACAUUUUGGGGGCAGAGAGAAAGUUCUGGGGCAAGAAAAGAAGGCUAGAGUUUGCAAAUGUUCUUCUACCUGGUGGUACUUUGCAAAUCCUAAACAGAAACAACACAGCUGGAUCUCUUUCGUUCUUCAAAAACAGGAUCUAGUAAGCCUGUGUAUUAAAAUAUCUUAAUUUUCCCCCACUGUGCUCAAAAGGUCAUUUUCAAUUUCCUGUUGGUUUAAUAAAGAACUUAGGUGUUCAGCAC